UGGGAAGUAUUGCACAAUGGGCGCAAGCCUGAUGCAGCCAUGCCGCGUGUAUGAAGAAGGCCUUCGGGUUGUAAAGUACUUUCAGCGAGGAGGAAGGCAUUGUGGUUAAUAACCACAGUGAUUGACGUUACUCGCAGAAGAAGCACCGGCUAACUCCGUGCCAGCAGCCGCGGUAAUACGGAGGGUGCAAACGUUAAUCGGAAUUACUGGGCGUAAAGCGCACGCAGGUGGUUGAUUAAGUCAGAUGUGAAAUCCCCGC
rnacentral:rRNA from 1 species